GGGGUAAUUUUUCCAAAGGUAGUUGUAGAUUUGUUGUGUCCACGGGAGGAGGUGAGUUCAGAGUCUGCCUAUGCCACCAUAUUGACCUAAAGUGGUAACUUUGAGUAAAGUUGGGCUGGGAAGUCCUUUCAGGCUGCAUCUCAGAGUGCUGUAGUCCUGUAUCUGGGAUGAUUCCUUGCCAACAUCCAUGUACAAACAUGCCCUAAUGUGUGUUAAACAGGCAGACCUCCUUUGACCCCAGAUUCCUUUCCAUUUCCCAUUCUGUUUCUCUGCUCCAUUCAAGCUGCCUCUCCUCAGGUUCUCUCCUGAACCAAUUCAGGAGUUUUCUCCACACCACUUCACUGAAAUGGAUUUUUCCAGGUCACCAAUGAUUUCCAUUUUGCUAAAUUCAAGGUUAAGUUUUUGCUCUCAUCUCACUCAACCUUUCAGCUGCAUUUGACACAGAUUAUACAAUUGAACACUCCUCCUUCUUGAAACACUUUCCUCUGGAUUUCCAGACACCCCUUCUCUCCUGAAUUCCCUCCCCCAUCUCUCCCUCCUCCUGCUCCUUCUCCUCCACCACAUCUCUAGUAAUACUCCCUUCUCGUUCCUGUGUGUUCUCUCUUCUCAGAGGAGUAAAUAUUUUUCCUAUUAUCUUAGUGGCUACCCUACUUUAUCAUGGUCUAACAUUAAUUAGUAUGUAUACCUUCUUCCCAGAGAGUGCAAGAAUCCCAUUUACCUCUUUCUGACUUCUAGAUUAUUAUUGUUGUGUGCUUAAAUUAUCAUAUAACUAUAAAACUAUAAAUGUAAUAUAUGAAAAUAUAUAUUUGAAGCCUAUCACAUUUUAUCUUUGUUUUAUAGAUUAUUUAUUUGGAGCUACCCACAUAUUAAUUAAUUUUGCUGUUCUUACGUUGUUCCUACUUCUCCAUCAUGAGAUUUCCUCCCUUUCUCUCAAAAAAUAUCCUUCACUAUUAUCCUUCAGUUUGAUAUUUUAGGGGAGCAAGAAAUUUUCCUCUUUCCUCUUGGUUCUUCUGGCUGGUCUAAGGAUUAAAUUGACAUGAGAAAGAAUAACAGGAGAAAAUCAAAGAAAGUUAAGAACAUGUAUACAUGGGAGAAGCACAGGAAAACUGAGUAAUUCCCCAAAAUGGCUGGAGCCACCACCUGAAAUACCUUAAAUACUUCAGCUGAAGACAAAAGAGGGUUUUGAGGGUAGUGGCUUGAGACUUCAAAUAGGAGGGAGGCAAUUCACUAAGAGAAGGAAAAGUAAGUGUUUGGUCAACAAAUGUUUGUCAUGUUUGGCAGAGAGUGUGGGACAUGAGGAGAGUUUUGAUCAAAUGGGCCUUGCUAGGCUCCUCCCUGUCUGCCACACCUAAUACAUAUUACACUAUAGUUAUCUAUGGUGAGAGCUCCUUCCUGGAACAGGCCUUCUAUCUUAAAAUCCUUUAGGAAGUUAGGAGGAAAGUCAAAGGAUCUUCUUGGUCUUUUGUUCCUAAAAAUAAUCAAGCCAAGGGGCUGGCCCCGUGGCCAAGUGGUUAAGUUUGCACGCUCCACUGCAGGCGGCUCAGUGUUUCAUUGGUUCGAAUCCUGGGCACGGACAUGGCACUGGUCACCAA
ensembl:lncRNA